rnacentral:rRNA from 1 species
AGUAUAAGCAUUAUACCGCGAAACUGCGAAUGGCUCAUUAUAUAAGUUAUCGUUUAUUUGAUAGUACCUUACUACUUGGAUAACCGUGGUAAUUCUAGAGCUAAUACAUGCUAAAAACCCCGACUCCGGAAGGGGUGUAUUUAUUAGAUUAAAAACCAAUGCCCUUCGGGGCUCUUUGGUGAUUCAUGAUAACUUUUCGAAUCGCAUGGCCUUGUGCCGGCGAUGGUUCAUUCAAAUUUCUUCCCUAUCAACUUUCGAUGUUAGGGUCUUGGCCUGCCAUGGUUGCAACGGGUAACGGAGGGUUAGGGCUCGACCCCGGAGAAGGAGCCUGAGAAACGGCUACUACAUCCAAGGAAGGCAGCAGGCGCGCAAAUUACCCAAUCCCGAUUCGGGGAGGUAGUGACAAUAAAUACUGAUACAGGGCUCUUUUGGGUCUUGUAAUUGGAAUGAGUACAAUUUAAAUCCCUUAACGAGGAACAAUUGGAGGGCAAGUCUGGUGCCAGCAGCCGCGGUAAUUCCAGCUCCAAUAGCGUAUAUUAAAGUUGUUGCGGUUAAAAAGCUCGUAGUUGAACCUUGGGCCUGGCUGGCCGGUCCGCCUCACCGCGUGCACUGGUUCGGCCGGGCCUUUCCCUCUGGGGAACCUCAUGCCCUUCACUGAUCGUGAUGGGGAACCAGGACUUUUACUGUGAAAAAAUUAGAGUGCUCAAAGCAGGCCUAUGCUCGAAUACAUUAGCAUGGAAUAAUAGAAUAGGACGUGUGGUUCUAUUUUGUUGGUUUCUAGGACCGCCGUAAUGAUUAAUAGGGACAGUCGGGGGCAUCAGUAUUCAAUUGUCAGAGGUGAAAUUCUUGGAUUUAUUGAAGACUAACUACUGCGAAAGCAUUUGCCAAGGAUGUUUUCAUUAAUCAGGAACGAAAGUUAGGGGAUCGAAGACGAUCAGAUACCGUCGUAGUCUUAACCAUAAACUAUGCCGAC